GCCCCGGUAAACGGCGGCCGUAACUAUAACGGUCCUAAGGUAGCGAAAUUCCUUGUCGGGUAAGUUCCGACCUGCACGAAUGGCGUAAUGAUGGCCAGGCUGUCUCCACCCGAGACUCAGUGAAAUUGAACUCGCUGUGAAGAUGCAGUGUACCCGCGGCAAGACGGAAAGACCCCGUGAACCUUUACUAUAGCUUGACACUGAACAUUGAGCCUUGAUGUGUAGGAUAGGUGGGAGGCUUUGAAGUGUGGACGCCAGUCUGCAUGGAGCCGACCUUGAAAUACCACCCUUUAAUGUUUGAUGUUCUAACGUUGGCCCGUAAUCCGGGUUGCGGACAGUGUCUGGUGGGUAGUUUGACUGGGGCGGUCUCCUCCUAAAGAGUAACGGAGGAGCACGAAGGUUGGCUAAUCCUGGUCGGACAUCAGGAGGUUAGUGCAAUGGCAUAAGCCAGCUUGACUGCGAGCGUGACGGCGCGAGCAGGUGCGAAAGCAGGUCAUAGUGAUCCGGUGGUUCUGAAUGGAAGGGCCAUCGCUCAACGGAUAAAAGGUACUCCGGGGAUAACAGGCUGAUAC
rnacentral:rRNA from 1 species